UACGUAGGGUGCAAGCGUUGUUCGGAAUUACUGGGCGUAAAGGGCUCGUAGGUGGCCAACUAAGUCAGACGUGAAAUCCCCAGGCUCAACUUGGGAACUGCGUCUGAUACUGGAUGGCUUGAAUCCGGGAGAGGGAUGCAGAAUUCCAGGUGUAGCGGUGAAAUGCGUAGAUAUCUGGAGGAAUACCGGUGGCGAAGGCGGCAUCCUGGACCGGGAUUGACACUGAGGAGCGAGAGCUAGGGGAGCAAACAGG
rnacentral:rRNA from 1 species